rnacentral:misc_RNA from 1 species
UCCCGGUUUCCCGGGCAGUCCCAUCAGAGUGCCUUGCAAAGCAAGUAGCAACUGACAGCAAGGGUUGCGCUCGUUAAAGGACUUAACCCAACAUCUCACGACACGAGCUGACGACAGCCAUGCAGCACCUGUUCAUAUGUCUAGACCGAAGCCUAGAAGAUCGUGUUUCUACGACUGUCAUAUGUAUGUCAAGCCUAGGUAAGGUUCCUCGCGUAGUGUCGAAUUAAACCACAUGUUCCACCGCUUGUGCGGGCCCCCGUCAAUUUCUUUGAGUUUUAGUCUUGCGACCGUAAUCCCCAGGCGGAUCACUUAACGCGUUAGCUACGACACUAAUCUUGCAAGCAAGACUAACGUCUAGUGAUCAUCGUUUACGGCGUGGACUAC